rnacentral:siRNA from 1 species
GACCUGGGGGUCGAGUGAUGUGA